CUGAGCAUCGUUCAGAGGCUGUAUAGUGGCAUCACAGAGAGAAAUCAGCUUGGAGAAAAUUAUAGCUAAUGCAAACCUCCAACCAAAACCUUUUUUCCCUUAGAGAGUGGUGUGUGAGCAGAGGAGAUGCCAUUGGAAGCAGUACAGGAGAUGCCAGCCCUGGGAUGCAACACAGAGAUGGACACUUUUCCUUCCUGGAUUUCCAAAGAAACUUCAAAAACUGAUUUUUGUCAACAAGAUUUGCUCAGUUGCAUCCACCCAAGUGUGAUGUUCACUCUUGGAAGAACGGAGCCUUUUGUCUGGACACAGGACAAGAAAAGAAGAGGUGAAGCUGCCCACCUCAGGAAGCAGCACAGGGCUUUGUAAAAUUCUGUAGCUACAGGCUCUAAAAUGCUCCAUUCCUGGCAGAAAACUGCACAGAAUAUUGACUUUUAACACCAACUAAUCCUGAUUGCACAAUAACUUCCCACCACUGCUCAGAGAAGAGGCUUUGCUUUCCCUAUUCUCCCAGAGAGGCUUUUAGAGACCUUCCUGAUGGCUGAAAGGCAGCUCUUCAAGGUACAAGAAGCAGUAAUAAAACACCAAAAACCACCCUUCUGUCCCCACAGCCUCACUUGUGUUCAUUUAAGUGAAUCUUGGCCAAAAUCUUGACAAAAUAAUCACUUUUUCCAUCACCUCAACCCAGAAGCAGCUCUGCUCCCUUCCAGGGAUGCCUGGGUAGAGGCUGAGGAGGGGCAGGGAGAGUGAAUUCAUUAAUUACCUGUUCCUGAUCAGAGCUCAUUUCUUUCCCCAGCUCCAAUAGUGGAGCUCCCUCUGCCCAGGGCAGGAUGAGGAAGAGGAGGCUGAGUCCCCUCCUCCUGCUGAGCUGAACACAGCAAACUUUGGGAUUAAAUCUCCUCUCCUUUACCCCUCUAUGGGGCUUUUGGUUUGAAGUGGAGGGAAAUCCUUGCUGGGGUUUUUCUGUGGCAUAAAUAUACAAUAUAUUCAUGUUAUCCCUGCAGAUCGUCAUUCUCCAUAUCCUCAUUAACACACUCACAAGAAGACCACUACCUCCACAUACUUUAUGUAUGCUGCAUUGCCAUAAAUCCUGCUUCAAUAUGCAGAUACAGAUUUUACACCUUUGCUGCUCAGAUACAGAAAGGACCAGGCUGGUUUUCUGUGUCUGAUUCCAGGAUCCCACCCCAGGUGGUGUGGGGAUCAAAACCACCUCCUAUUGCUGAAAUGCAUCCUCAGUGGGAAAUUUAAACAGAAACAGAAGCAGCAGCCCUGUCUUUGGUCAAGACGAAGUUGUUGGAAAACCUCCUGGAAGGAGGGAAAUAUUUCCCUCCAUGGGAAAUAUUGUGAUGCUGCAGAGCUGACACUGCAGCCACUGUCCCUCCAGCUCCCCCUCAGCACCAGGGAAAUGUCAUUUCAGCACCGGGGAAAGUAAUUUCAGCACCAGGGAAUGCCAUUUCAGCACCAGGGAAAGUAAUUUCAGCACCAGGGAAUCUCUUUUCAGCACCAGCACCAGCCAAGGUGUGACAGAUCCCCCAAACCAAUUUAGGCUGCUGUCUCCCAGGACCUCAUUCCACCUGUGCAAGCAGCAGGCAGGGCCAGCAGCAGGGCUGAGCCUCGUUGUCUCUGUGCUUGGCCCCAGCCAUGGGGGGAGUGUGGCUCUGGGGUGUCAGUGCCCCUCACAGCCCGGGAAUGAGCUUUUCCCCGGAGGCUCAGCAGCACACAUUGUAUUUUGGUGAUUCACACGGCUUCCCUCAUUGCAGGCUCGUGAACUCGGUUUGGAAACCCGGGAAAAGCACAGGGCUUGCUGCUGGGAGAAAUGCUUUAUUCUAAUCACAAAGAAAUCCCACAAUUAUCACAAAUGAAAUCCCAAAGGAGCUUUUUCAUUCAGUCCUGCUUAGUGCCCCCUGCUCAUCACCUUUAGAUGUCUGAGUGCACAGCAGGUACCAACAAUACCAGUUUACAACCCAAUGCACAGACCAAAGCUCCCACUGCAAAUUGCCUUCAAGAGAAGUAAUAACUGCCUCCACAGCUCUAGAGCUGCUAUAAAGCAAGAUAUUUCUCCUUUUUUGUCAUUUCUGUAAUGUCUUGGGUUCCUUAA